GUAACACUCCGAGUAAUGAUCGACUUUACCUGAGGAAGGGAAGGGUGAAGAUGCUGGCGACCCCCUCCUGCCGCCCUCAUUAGUGUGUUAUAAACUGUGUUCAUCCAAAGAGUAACGAACGAGCGAUCGGCCGAUUACGGGGAAAAAAGCGCGGAAAACUAUUAAAAGAGACACAUAAACCGCCAGGGUGUGGAUGUGCAGAGGCCUUUCCUGGUGGGCGGCUCAGGGAACGGAAGGAGAUAUUGGCAAAGUUUUGAAAAUAGUUAUGAUUUCGCAGCCUGCACAUCACCGCUUCUCUCCCAACACACAGCCUUGCACACACACACACACACACACACACACACACACACACACACACACACACACACACACACACACACACACACACACACACACACACACACACACACACACACACACACACACACACACACAAACACAUAUUCAUCGAGAGCUCCUAUACUGAAUGUGAGUUUUAGGAAGUGAACAAAGGAGUCUGUUUUCACUCCAGAGAGAUGAUUGACCAGUCCACUCGCAGCUGUUGGAAUACCCAUUCCAGGCAGGAGAGAAGGUAAUGUAAGAUAUUGCCAAAAUAUACUUACAUCACAAUGACUUCUUAACGCAAACUCCUAGAUUUUUUCCCUUAUAUCCUUAUUGCCACAGUAUGGUAUUCUUUGUCAUUAUAUUCGUACGUGUACGAACACAAUAAGGAAACAAAAAAAGGCGAGUUAAUCUAUACAGUGCAGCUAAACAGAUGUCAGCUACAUUUUUCAACUUAAAUCUUAUUUUACUUCAGAACGCAUGUUUACAAAAAUCAGUUAUAUAUUCUGCAAUAUGUUUUUUAUUGCUAUUUUAUUUAGUUUUAAUAAAGUACUUGACAUAUCUUCCAGACAGCUACCAGCCCACAUCGACCAAAUAUCCUGUUCUACUCCACCACACACAUAAAAAAAACUUGAAAAGCCUGACUAAAAGAAAUAUUCAUAAUUUAUUUUCACUGCUUCC